rnacentral:lncRNA from 1 species
CCCUUCUUCUUCCCGACUUAUUCUUUUAUUAUUAUGAGGCUGACUUUAUACAGAAACUUCUUAUGAAGAAAGAUAAGAAGUUAGCAAUAUCCCUUAAUUUUACUUUCCGCUAUAUAGUUAAUGUUCUCCAACUAAAUAAUUCAAAAUUUGGUGACUAUGUUGAACGCAUCUAUCCCAUCGAACUAGAGAUAAAGAAACAUACAGCAUAUACAGUUAAGUCUGCCUCAUAUGUUACUUACAUAUAGAAAUUUACAAUGAGGGUCCGUUGAAAACAAAAC